CAUAGCGACUAUCGUGGCAUAUCAAUAAGCGGAGGAAAAGAAACUAACAAGGAUUCCCUUAGUAACGGCGAGUGAAGCGGGAAGAGCUCAAAUUUGAAAUCUUCAAGGUUCUACCUUGACGAAUUGUAGUUUAUAGAAGUGUUUUCUGUUAGUAGAGUGGCAAAAGUUCUUUGGAAUAGGACAUCAUAGAGGGUGAGAAUCCCGUAUUUGGUCAUUCCUUCCUAGCUUUGUGAUACACUUUCAACGAGUCGGAUUGUUUGGGAAUGCAGUCCAAAAUGGGUGGUAAAUUUCAUCUAAAGCUGAAUAUUGGCGAGAGACCGAUAGCGAACAAGUACCGUGAGGGAAAGAUGAAAAGAACUUUGAAAAGAGAGUUAAACAGUACGUGAAAUUGUCAAAAGGGAAGCGUUUGACACCAGUGUUGUUUUUCCGAAAAUCAAUUACGAAUGUUUUGUUUUUGAGGAGUUAUGACUUCAUCGGCUUGCUCUCUUCUUUACGAAACUUUCUUAAUGCACUUUUCGGUUAACAAGUCAACAUCAAUUUCUUUUGUUGUAAAAGGGUAUGAGGAAGGUGGCUUUCUUUUCGGAGAAAGUGUUUAUAGCCUUGUACCUCUGCAAUCGGAGAGAUUGAGGUCUGCAGCGUAGAUCCUUCGGGGUUAGAUACGUUUGUGCUAAGUUAUAGCUUUUCAUAGACAACUUGUUGACUAUGUUUAGUCUUGUAGCUUACUCGCUGAUGCUAUUUUACCUACGCUUAGGAUGUUGACGAGACUGUCGAUCUC
rnacentral:rRNA from 1 species